rnacentral:misc_RNA from 1 species
GAUGAAGAACGUAGCGAAAUGCGAUACUUGGUGUGAAUUGCAGAAUCCCGUGAACCAUCGAGUCUUUGAACGCAAGUUGCGCCCGAAGCCAUUAGGCCGAGGGCACGCCUGCCUGGGCGUCACACGUCGUUGCCCCCCCAUCUACUCCUUCGGGAUUGCGGGGGGCGGAUGAUGGCCUCCCGUGCGCCUCGCCGCGCGGUUGGCAUAAAUGCCAAGUCCUCGGCGACGCACGCCACGACAAUCGGUGGUUGCGAAACCUCGGUUGCCCGUCGUGUGCGGUCGUCGCGCAUCGAGGGCUCGGAAAAAUUGCCGGGUUCCGGCUCGGCUUUCAACGCGACCCCAGGUCAGGCGGGGUUACCCGCUGAAUUUAAGCAUAUCAAUAAGCGGAGGA